UAUCAAAAACAUCGCCUCUUGCAAAACUGAGGAAUAAGAGGUCCCGCCUGCCCUGUGACUAUAUGUUUAACGGCCGCGGUAUUUUGACCGUGCGAAGGUAGCGCAAUCACUUGUCUUUUAAAUGGAGACCUGUAUGAAUGGCAUAACGAGGGCUUAGCUGUCUCCUUUUUCAAGUCAAUGAAAUUGAUCUCCCCGUGCAGAAGCGGGGAUAACACCAUAAGACGAGAAGACCCUAUGGAGCUUUAGACACCAAGACAGAUCAUGUUAAACACCCCUGAAUAAAGGACCAAACCAGAUGAGCCCUGCCCUAAUGUCUUUGGUUGGGGCGACCGCGGGGAAACAAAAAACCCCCACGUGGAAUGGGAACACUUCCUCCCACAACUAAGAGCUCCCGCUCUAAUGACCAGAAUUUCUGACCAAUCAGAUCCGGCAACGCCGAUCAACGGACCGAGUUACCCUAGGGAUAACAGCGCAAUCCCCUUUUAGAGCCCAUAUCGACAAGGGGGUUUACGACCUCGAUGUUGGAUCAGGACAUCCUAAUGGUGCAGCCGCUAUUAAGGGUUCGUUUGUUCAACGAUUAAAGUCCUACGUGAUCUGAGUUCAGACCG
rnacentral:rRNA from 1 species